rnacentral:rRNA from 1 species
ACUCCUACGGGAGGCAGCAGUGGGGAAUAUUGGACAAUGGGCGAAAGCCUGAUCCAGCCAUGCCGCGUGUGUGAAGAAGGUCUUCGGAUUGUAAAGCACUUUAAGUUGGGAGGAAGGGCAGUUACCUAAUACGUAAUUGUUUUGACGUUACCGACAGAAUAAGCACCGGCUAACUCUGUGCCAGCAGCCGCGGUAAUACAGAGGGUGCAAGCGUUAAUCGGAAUUACUGGGCGUAAAGCGCGCGUAGGUGGUUUGUUAAGUUGGAUUGUGAAAUCCCCGGGCUCAACCUGGGAACUGCAUUCAAAACUGACUGACUAGAGUAUGGUAGAGGGUGGUGGAAUUUCCUGUGUAGCGGUGAAAAUGCGUAGAUAUAGGAAGGAACACCAGUGGCGAAGGCGACCACCUGGACUAAUACUGACACUGAGGUGCGAAAGCGUGGGAGCAACAGGAUUAGAUACCCUGGUAGGUCAGUC